rnacentral:rRNA from 1 species
GCUGGUAUCAGGCGCGCAACACGCAGCCCACAACGCCUUGCUUAGCCACACCCCCAAGGGUACUCAGCAGUGAUAAAUUUUAAGCCAUAAGCGAAAGCUUGACUUAGUUCCGGUUUUUAGGGUCGGUAAAACUCGUGCCAGCCACCGCGGUUAUACGAGAGACUCAAGUUGACACCCGCGGCGUAAAGAGUGGUUAGGGGCAAGACAACUAAAGCCGAACAUCCCCCAAGCCGUUGCACGCUUACGGAGGAAUGAAGCCCCCUUACGAAAGUAGCUUUACGCCACCCGAACCCACGAUAGCUAGGAGACAAACUGGGAUUAGUAAACCCACUAUGCCUAGUCGUAAACCUCGACACUCAUAUACAGCGAGCGUCCGCCAGGGAAUUACAAGCACCAGCUUAAAACUCAAAGGACUUGGCGGUACCUCAAACCCCCCUAGAGGAGCCUGUUCUUAAACCGAUAAUCCCCGUUCAACCUCACCACCUCUCGUUUUCCA